UCAGGGGCCCUGUGCCCCAACUCAGGGACUGGAGCAGGCCUGGGGUGCUGAGCUAAAGAAGCAGGUAGGAUAGAUCAGCAAACCGGUGCUGUGUGUCAAGGGCUGCUCAUGUCCAUACACAGCUCUCUCUGCACGCUCUGUUGUCAGCACUGAGCUUCCACAGUGAUCUGGAGAAGGGCCUCUGCAGAGACCUUCCCACUUUAUAGAGCUACCCAGCAAGCCUUGGAGUAAGGUUUAGGUGACUUGAGCUUCUAGCCAGGAAGGGGCCUGCUGGGCUGACAUAGUCAGACAUGAGCCUCACCCUCAUCCAGCAGCCAGCCACCCUCUCAGCGCAUGGGGAAUUGCUGGAUGUGCAGGUAACUCCUGUGCCCAGGCCUCCCCCAUCUAAGCCGCCUCCAGGUCCAGAGGCACACCUGCAACACCAGAGUGGAAUCCUCAAUCCCUUGGGGGAGGUAGUGGGAAUCCAACACAGUCCACAGCUGAUGAGCAUGUACUCUCAAGCCAACAUUGCCAAGAGUGUUCCAGGAUGUCCUUGAAAUGCUUCUGAGGGCAGCAGAGGGAGACCAGUUGAUUAACCCCCAGGUUAUGGUGAGGAGAAAGGGGUUUCUACUGGCUGCCUUUCAAAGUUUUGGGCAGGUCCUAGCAGUUUGUCACUGCACCUGGAAUGAAAGUCCUAAGGAAGGGUUCGUGCACUGGGUCGGGGUGUGUGUGUGUGCGCGCACGCGCGAGAGCAGUGGAGGAGACUCUCUGCCUGAGGGCCUGGGCAGACCAGAUAUUCCAGAACUCAGUGGAGGCUGUCAGAUGUGCCUCAGCCCAAGGGCCCUGCUUCCAACACAGUGCAGCUGUCUCCAAGGUGGGGUUACAAGCUGGCUUCACAGGUGGCGCUCAGAAAGGUAUUUGGAGUGAGAAGGGCCCCUUCCCUGUGGCCGCCACAGCUGACAGGACAGAGUGACCCUACAGAUUUUGGAGCACAAUCAGGAUGCCUAUUGGCCAAGUUCAGAUGCCCUGCCCUGCCCCCUAAAAAGCAGUCCAAACACAGGAAUUUGCAACCAGCUAGAGUGGAGAAGUACACAGUUGACAAACUUUCCUCUUUUGGUUUCUGGAAACCCCUCUAGGAAGCUGCAGUUAUAAUUUGUUAGGCCUUGUGGAAGCCUAGGCCAAUUUUGCACACCAGAAAGCAGGUCUCUCCCACCCUCUUAAUGAAGGCCAAUCCACCCCUGCACAACAGCACUGAGAAGGUUGUGGAUGUAGGCUGACCAACUGUCUUGGUUUGUCCCAGGACUGAGGGGUUUCUAGGAUACAGGGCUUUCAGUGCUAAAACCAGAUGGUUCUGGGUAAACCAGGACAGUUGAUUACCCCAGGGUUGGAUGGUAGGCUGGGACAAGGGACUAGUGAGGCCAGAGAGAAAGGCCAGGCGGCCAGGCAGCCAGACCCUCCCCUGCAGACCAGCAGCUGCCUCUCAGCCUCAUAUUUUCCUGCCUCACGAUUCAGAGCUUCAUCUCCCAGGCACUAAGGAACUGCCCUAGCCCCUGGGGAAUGAUCCCAUGGGGGCAGCGUGGCAGCGUGGCUGUGCGUGCUCCCGCCAGACUGGCAGCUACAAUGGGAAAGCUGUGAGUUGGACUCAGGGGUGGAUCCAGAUUUUUUGAGAGCCAAGCUUACUUAUGCAGUUUGGGGGCUGGGGUGCUCUUUAAGAAAAGGAAUACAAGAUUACUAACGCCAAAUGACCACUGAAGGACUAUGAAGCUUAAACUUCGUUAGCUUCAAGAGUGUGGACAUUCUGACACUCGGAUUUGACUAUGCCAAAAAGAACAAAACGCUAAGGAAUGCAGGAAAACGAGAUGGAAAGAAGCUGGUUCCCUGAGUGACAUUGUGGGACAUCCCUGACAAUCUGGACUCUUUAUUACCCGUUAACGAGAGAGAAAAAUAAAGUUCUAUUUUGUUUAA